UGUUGCCUACGGGGCGCAGCAGUGGGGAAUAUUGCACAAUGGGGGAAACCCUGAUGCAGCAACGCCGCGUGAGUGAAGAAGUAUUUCGGUAUGUAAAGCUCUAUCAGCAGGGAAGAAGAAAGACGGUACCUGACUAAGAAGCCCCGGCUAACUACGUGCCAGAAGCCGCGGUAAUACGUAGGGGGCAAGCGUUAUCAGGAUUUACUGGGUGUAAAGGGAGCGUAGACGGAAAGGCAAGUCAGAAGUGAAAAGCCAAGGCUAAACAAUGGGACAGCUUUUGAAACUGGCAAACUAG
rnacentral:rRNA from 1 species